UACAGAGGGUGCGAGCGUUAAUCGGAAUUACUGGGCGUAAAGCGUGCGUAGACGGCUAUCUAAGUCGGGUGUGAAAGCCCCGGGCUCAACCUGGGAAUUGCAUUCGAGACUGAAUAGCUAGGGUGCGGUAGAGGGAAGCGGAAUUUCCGGUGUAGCGGUGAAAUGCGUAGAUAUCGGAAGGAACAUCAGUGGCGAAAGCGGCUUCCUGGACCAGCACCGACGUUCAGGCACGAAAGCGUGGGGAGCAAAUAGG
rnacentral:rRNA from 1 species